UAUAUUUUAAAUAAUAUAAAAUAUGUAGUUCUUUCAAACGGUACUCUAGAUGUCAAGCCAAACCAUUAACAAUAACACAUUUCGGCCAAUACUAUCUUCAAUAAGUACGUCUUAUAGAAUACUACAUACAUGACAUUGUUGUUAAUUGCCUGACGACCAUUCUUAGGUUUCAGAAUCAAUUCGAAGCGAAUUCAUCAUGGCUGAUCUCGCAUUAGCAAAAGAGUAAUUCAUUCUUGAUACRAAAGAAGAAAUCAUGCUAUGUCAACGGAAAACAUAUUUACCAGACGCAAUAAAGAGGUAAUUAUGCUUACCACUAUAUUAUUCGGGAUAUAGUCUGGGAAUUUCAUUUUCAUGGAAUACGAAUGUUACAGCUGAAAAGGCGCCGAAGACCAAUAUUAGAUUUAUCACUAUUUUAUAAAUUUAGUGUUGCAUGUCCUAAGAAGAUCUCACAAACAAAUUGGAUAUUCACAAGGAUUUAUUCUCAAAUGUCUUUACAUUUAUGAUGAUAAGGCAAAUGCCUGUUUGACCGACAGAAAUAUCUUCAUAUGUAACAUAAGCAAUUAAAUAUUAAUUAAUGUAUUAUUAUUCACUUAAGCACUAUUGUGUGUUAAUAAACUAUAUGUGUUUAUUUUGCAAUA